rnacentral:rRNA from 1 species
AUACGUAGGUGACGAGCGUUAUCCGGAAUUAUUGGGUGUAAAGGGUGCGUAGGCGGGCUGUAAAGUCAGAUGUGAAAUACCGGGGCUUAACUCCGGAGCUGCAUUUGAAACUUACGGUCUUGAGUGAAGUAGAGGUAAGCGGAAUUCCCAGUGUAGCGGUGAAAUGCGUAGAUAUUGGGAGGAACACCAGUGGCGAAGGCGGCUUACUGGGCUUUUACUGACGCUGAGGCGCGAAAGUGUGGGGAGCAAACAGGAUUAGAUACCCUGGUAGUCCACACCGUAAACGAUGAAUGCUAGGUGUAGGGGGUAUCGACCCCUUCUGUGCCGCAGUAAACACAAUAAGCAUUCCGCCUGGGGAGUACGGCCGCAAGGUUGAAACUCAAAUGAAUUGGCGGGG